UGUCUAUUAAUUGUAGACCUGUAUGAAAGGAUAAAUGAGGGUCUAACUGUCUCUUAUAAUAAAUCAAUUAAACUGAUCUUCUAGUAAAAAAGCUAGAAUAGUCCCAUAAGACCAGAAGACCCUGUGAAGCUUAAACUAAAAUAUUAAACCAUAUAAUAUCUACUUUCGGUUGGGGCGACCUUGGAAAAAAAAAGAACUUCCAUAAUACUACGACCAUAAAUCAUACCAGCAGGCCUACAAGCCAUGUACGACCCAGCACAGCUGAUAAUUGAACCAAGUUACUCCAGGGAUAACAGCGCCAUCUUCUUCAAGAGCCCAUAUCAAAAAGAAGGUUUACGACCUCGAUGUUGGAUCAGGACAUCCUAAUGGUGCA
rnacentral:rRNA from 1 species